GACGAACGCUGGCGGCGUGCUUAACACAUGCAAGUCGAACGGAAAGGCCCUGCUUUUGUGGGGUGCUCGAGUGGCGAACGGGUGAGUAACACGUGAGUAACCUGCCCUUGACUUUGGGAUAACUUCAGGAAACUGGGGCUAAUACCGGAUAGGAGCUCCUGCUGCAUGGUGGGGGUUGGAAAGUUUCGGCGGUUGGGGAUGGACUCGCGGCUUAUCAGCUUGUUGGUGGGGUAGUGGCUUACCAAGGCUUUGACGGGUAGCCGGCCUGAGAGGGUGACCGGCCACAUUGGGACUGAGAUACGGACCAGACUCCUACGGGAGGCAGCAGUCGGGAAUAUUGCACAAUGGGCGGAAGCCUGAUGCAGCAACGCCGCGUGCGGGAUGCCGGCCUUCGGGUUGUAAACCGCUUUCGCAUGUGACGAAGCGUGAGUGACGGUAAUGGGUAAAGAAGCACCGGCUAACUACGUG
rnacentral:rRNA from 1 species